rnacentral:rRNA from 1 species
CCUACGGGAGGCAGCAGUGAGGAAUAUUGGUCAAUGGCCGGAAGGCUGAACCAGCCAUGCCGCGUGAAGGUCAGUGCCCUAUGGGCGUUAAACCUCUUUUGUGCGGGAGCAAUAAUGGUCACGUGUGGCCAGACGAGAGUACCGUACGAAUAAGCAUCGGCUAACUCCGUGCCAGCAGCCGCGGUAAUACGGGGGAUGCAAGCGUUAUCCGGAUUUAUUGGGUUUAAAGGGUGCGUAGGCUGUGAGGUAAGUCAGCGGUGAAAUGCCCCCGCUCAACGGGGUGAAGUGCCAUUGAUACUGGCUUGCUGGAAUGCGGGUGCCGUGGGAGGAAUGUGUGGUGUAGCGGUGAAAUGCAUAGAUAUCACACAGAACACCGAUUGCGAAGGCAUCUCACGAAUCCGCGAUUGACGCUGAUGCACGAAAGCGUGGGUAUCAAACAGGAUUAGAUACCCCGGUAGUC